GACGAACGCUGGCGGCGUGCUUAACACAUGCAAGCCGAACGUGAUUUUUGUGGAAAUUCUUUCGGGAAUGGAAAUGAAAUGAAAGUGGCGAACGGGUGAGUAACACGUGAGCAACCUACCUUACACAGGGGGAUAGCCGUUGGAAACGACGAUUAGUACCGCAUGAGACCACAGAAUCGCAUGAUAUAGGGGUCGAAGAUUUAUCGGUGUAAGAAGGGCUCGCGUCUGAUUAGCUAGUUGGAAGGGUAAAGGCCUACCAAGGCGACGAUCAGUAGCCGGUCUGAGAGGAUGAACGGCCACAUUGGAACUGAGACACGGUCCAAACUCCUACGGGAGGCAGCAGUGGGGAAUAUUGCACAAUGGGGGGAACCCUGAUGCAGCGACGCCGCGUGAGCGAAGAAGGUUUUCGAAUCGUAAAGCUCUGUCCUAUGAGAAGAUAAUGACGGUAUCAUAGGAGGAAGCCCCGGCUAAAUACGUG
rnacentral:rRNA from 1 species